rnacentral:rRNA from 1 species
AGUGAACGCUGGCGGUAGGCCUAACACAUGCAAGUCGAACGGCAGCACAGUAAGAGCUUGCUCUUACGGGUGGCGAGUGGCGGACGGGUGAGGAAUACAUCGGAAUCUACUUUUUCGUGGGGGAUAACGUAGGGAAACUUACGCUAAUACCGCAUACGACCUACGGGUGAAAGCAGGGGAUCUUCGGACCUUGCGCGAUUGAAUGAGCCGAUGUCGGAUUAGCUAGUUGGCGGGGUAAAGGCCCACCAAGGCGACGAUCCGUAGCUGGUCUGAGAGGAUGAUCAGCCACACUGGAACUGAGACACGGUCAAGACUCCUAAGGGAGGCAGCAGUGGGGAAUAUUGGACAAUGGGCGCAAGCCUGAUCCAGCCAUACCGCGUGGGUGAAGAAGGCCUUCGGGUUGUAAAGACCUUUUGUUGGGAAAGAAAAGCAGCAGGUUAAUACCCAGCUGUUCUGACGGUACCCAAAGAAUAAGCACCGGCUAACUUCGUG